AAAAAAAAAUUUGUUCGAUUCAUAACCACAAAGGAAGGAGAGCAUGAACCUUACCGAUGAGGAAGAAGGCAAAGUGAAGACGUUUUCUUUUUUGGUGUGGAUAUGAUAAAUGUAGUUGUGCUUGUUUCUUUUCUUCGUUGAUUGUAUAUCUUUUUAAUGAUGAAUUAAUGUACAAUUAUCUCUGCUACUAUCAAUCAGCUUCGUGCGAUCUUUGUCAAUGGUAGUAGCGCUGGUGGGCCAACGACAGCAA
rnacentral:misc_RNA from 1 species